CAAUUUUCAGCAGUUUUGGAUUCCUUGUCCUGAGCAAUGAAGGGGAUGUGCCAAGUUGGGAUGGUGACCUGGGGGAAGGAACCUGUCAGAAACACCUUUGCUCCUUCCUGA